GCGUGAAGGGACGAAGGCCUUCGGGUUGUAAACCUUCUUUCAGCAGGGAUGAAGCGAAAGUGACGGUACCUGCAGAAGAAGCGCCGGCUAACUACGUGCCAGCAGCCGCGGUAAUACGUAGGGCGCAAGCGUUAUCCGGAAUUAUUGGGCGUAAAGAGCUCGUAGGCGGUUUGUCGCGUCUGCUGUGAAAGCCCGGGGCUCAACCCCGGGUCUGCAGUGGGUACGGGCAGACUAGAGUGAUGUAGGGGAGACUGGAAUUCCUGGUGUAGCGGUGAAAUGCGCAGAUAUCAGGAGGAACACCGAUGGCGAAGGCAGGUCUCUGGGCAUUAACUGACGCUGAGGAGCGAAAGCAUGGGGAGCGAACAGGAUUAGAUACCCUGGUAGUCCAUGCCGUAAACGUUGGGCACUAGGUGUGGGGGACAUUCCACGUUUUCCGCGCCGUAGCUAACGCAUUAAGUGCCCCGCCUGGGGAGUACGGCCGCAAGGCUAAAACUCAAAGGAAUUGACGGGGGCCCGCACAAGCGGCGGAGCAUGCGGAUUAAUUUGAUGCAACGCGAAGAACCUUACCAAGGCUUGACAUGAACCGGAAAGGCCUGGAAACAGGUCCCCCACUUGUGGCCGGUUUACAGGUGGUGCAUGGUUGUCGUCAGCUCGUGUCGUGAGAUGUUGGGUUAAGUCCCGCAACGAGCGCAACCCUCGUUUUAUGUUGCCAGCGGGUUAUGCCGGGGACUCAUAGGAGACUGCCGGGGUCAACUCGGAGGAAGGUGGGGACGACGUCAAAUCAUCAUGCCCCUUAUGUCUUGGGCUUCACGCAUGCUACAAUGGCCGGUACAAAGGGUUGCGAUACUGUGAGGUGGAGCUAAUCCCAAAAAACCGGUCUCAGUUCGGAUUGAGGUCUGCAACUCGACCUCAUGAAGUUGGAGUCGCUAGUAAUCGCAGAUCAGCAACGCUGCGGUGAAUACGUUCCCGGGCCUUGUACACACCGCCCGUCAAGUCCCGAAAGUUGGUAACACCCGAAGCCGGUGGCCUAACCCCUUGUGGAGCAGCCGUCGAAGGUGGGUCCCGCGU
rnacentral:rRNA from 1 species